UACGGAGGAUCCGAGCGUUAUCCGGAAUUAUUGGGUUUAAAGGGUGCGCAGGCGGGGAUCUAAGUCAGGGGUGAAAGACGGUGGCUCAACCAUCGCAGUGCCUUUGAUACUGGAUUCCUUGAAUAUACCUGAGGUAGGCGGAAUGUGGCAAGUAGCGGUGAAAUGCAUAGAUAUGCCACAGAACACCGAUUGCGAAGGCAGCUUACCAAAGUAUGAUUGACGCUGAGGCACGAAAGCGUGGGGAUCGAAC
rnacentral:rRNA from 1 species